ACGGAGUUGUACCACUACUAUCAGGCCAAGAAAUAGAACAUUACCAGUACCCUGGAAAUGAGAUCCUGCUCCUCUAUGGUUAUUACACGCCUUUAAAGAUGACUGGGUAGGGACCAUUUCUGGCCUGGGUGACUUUGGCAUCUAGAUACUUGCAUACAUCUGAUAUCCAAUUGUUCCAGUGCAAUUUAUUGAAUAGACUUUUUCUUCAUUGAAUUACCUCAGUGCCUUUGUUGAAAAUAAAUUGGCCAUAAAUGUCUAUGCUGCUUGAAUUUCUGUGUACAGUUGUGAACAAUUUGACCCUGGUAUCUUCUCUGAUGAAAAUCAGAAGCUAGUGGAGAAGACAGAUAUUAAAAGCAAUUAAAGUAAAGUAUGAGGAAACAGUCCUUAUUGACUCCUGAGAGGAACCAACAUUCAUUCAAGCAAUGAGAUAUGAUGAAAUCCAGUUGACCAGGCAAAACAUAGAGCCUACUUGGGAUGGAGAAAUCAACAGAGAAUUUUUCCAUUAGAGGUAGCUCAUUGGUGAGAAUGUAUGAUAUCACUAUGAUGGGAGAAAUGGAAAUUGUGUAUUUAAAUGUUUGUAUUCAUACUUUAGUAUAGGUAAGAGGCAUGCACACCAGAAAUUAUUACAUGGUUAAGAUGAUGAUGUAUAUUUUGAUUGUUCUUUCAAAUUUUUCCUUGCACAGAGCAUAACCACAAUUUAUUUAAUGUAUGAUUAAAAUCAUUAAUACUCUGAUGAAACAAACUAUCUAAAUUGAGAAAAGUGUUUUCCUAUAUUAAGAAUAUUUCUUGCACAUAUCCUAAUUCUUGGUCUACUUAAGCCAUGCACGUCUCUCUCUCUAUGUCACUCUCUCUCUCUCUCUCUCUCUCUGUGUGUGUGUGUGUGUGUGUGUGUGUGUGUGUGAGAGAAAGAGAGAGAGAGAGAAGGAGGUAGACUGUCCAUGGGCAUAUGUCCUGAGCCUUCGUUAAUUUAAUUAGUAUAGCUGCCAUAAAUCUCUAAGUUAGUAAUUUAUAUACUUCACUGAUUCUUCAUUGCUAUUGUCAUAUUUCAUCAGUUCUAAGAUGAAUGUGUUUUCCCUCAUAUUUAACUCCUCUGAAAUCAAGAACAUUUUCCAGCUAAUGGUGUCUGGGGACAGUUUUGCCAUGAUUGUCAUUGCCUAUCCAUAUUUGAAUGUAUUGGCAUAACUGAAAAAGUGUAACUCCUUGACAUGUUAAUCAACACAUCAUUUAAGAACUAUUUGAAAAAGGAAUGUGAGAUUGCUAUUCUGAAACUCUUCUAAGAAUGCACCAAUAUGAAAUCUUGAAUAAUGUAUACAAAUAGCUUGGAGAAAAUCCUGAAAAAAAUAGCAGAAUGCUCUUUUAGGAAGUGCUGCAUCCAUGUUCUUGGCUGAGUAAAAAAUGUAGUUUGGAAGAAUUGAUUUCUGAAUACCAAGAAGUUUUGCAAAACCUUUAAAUAUUUAUUUAAUUUAUACUUCCCUUUUCAAUGUAUAAACAAGAACACUACAUGGAGGGAGGAAAGCCAAACCUAAUGUGUUUUUAAAUGCUCUUUCAAUACAUUUAAAACAAAAAUCUCAAAGGACAGUAAAAUGUAGUUUACUUGGCAUUUAUUUUAUUAUUUGUGGUAGGUAAAUAAUAAUACAUCGUAUAAAUCAAUGGUAUUUUAGAUUCAAUAAAAUAUAGCCUUUAGUCAUCAUAUCAUAGAACUAAAUACACCUAAAGCCAGGAGAGAUUUAGAGAACUAGUUUAACUUCUCCAUUUAAUAUUUGAGGAAGUAAGACGCAAAGAAAUUAAAUGAGUAGCCUGCGAUUACACAGCUCCCUGAUGUAUGAUGUUGACACCGAGGUUAUUUCAGAGGUCACCACUAACAACUGUUAUGAAUGAAGUUUAUUUACUUUUAAUAAAAUGCUAUCUUUUCCCAUACAGUGAGCAUACUUCUUCCUUAAUAUAAGAGUACUGUAGGCCGGGCGCGGUGGCUCACACCUGUAAUCCCAGCACUUUGGGAGGCCGAGGCGGGUGGAUCAUGAGGUCAGGAAAUCGAGACCAUCCUGGCUAACAAGGUGAAACCCCGUCUCUACUAAAAAUACAAAAAAUUAGCCGG
rnacentral:lncRNA from 1 species